GACGAACGCUGGCGGCGUGGAUUAGGCAUGCAAGUCGAACGGUAGGAUACCUUCGGGUAUCUGAGAGUGGCGAACGGGUGAGUAACACGUAGGUGAUCUACCCUCAAGAUUGGGACAACCCAGGGAAACUUGGGCUAAUACCGGAUGAAAGCAGCAGUGAUGUUGUUUGAAAGGUGGCGUAAGCUGCCGUUUGGGGAUGAGCCUGCGCUCUAUUAGUUAGUUGGCGGGGUAAAGGCCCACCAAGGCGAUGAUAGAUAGGCGGCCUUAACGGGUGGUCGCCCACACUGGGAUUGAGAUACGGCCCAGACUCCUACGGGAGGCAGCAGUCGAGAAUAGUCUACAAUGGCCGAAAGGCUGAUAGUGCGACGCCGCGUGAACGAAGAAGCCCUUCGGGGUGUAAAGUUCUUUUAUAUGUGAGCAGUGCUUUCUAUGUGAACAGCAUGGGGAGAGAGAUAUUAGCAUAAUGAAUAAGCAACGGCUAACUCCGUGCCAGC
rnacentral:rRNA from 1 species